rnacentral:misc_RNA from 1 species
UAAUAAGUGUUUUAUGGCACUUUUUAAAUCCAUAUCCACCUUGUGUGCAAUGUCAGUCGAUCUUCUUCAUGGAGAUCGACCAAACAUCAACCUUUAUCUUUUAACUCUUUGUCUGAAAAAUAUUAUGAAUAAACAAUUCGAAAAUA